GCUGGCGGCAGGCUUAACACAUGCAAGUCGAACGGUAGCACAUAGGAGUUUGCUCCUUGGGUGACGAGUGGCGGACGGGUGAGUAAUGCUUGGGAAUCUGGCUUAUGGAGGGGGAUAACUACUGGAAACGGUAGCUAAUACCGCGUAAUGUCUUAGGACUAAAGGGUGGGACCAUUUGGCCACCUGCCAUAAGAUGAGCCCAAGUGGGAUUAGGUAGUUGGUGAGGUAAAGGCUCACCAAGCCCGCGAUCUCUAGCUGGUCUGAGAGGAUGACCAGCCACACUGGAACUGAGACACGGUCCAGACUCCUACGGGAGGCAGCAGUGGGGAAUAUUGCACAAUGGGGGGAACCCUGAUGCAGCCAUGCCGCGUGAAUGAAGAAGGCCUUCGGGUUGUAAAGUUCUUUCGGUGACGAGGAAGGCGAUUGUUUUAAUAGAACAGUCGAUUGACGUUAAUCACAGAAGAAGCACCGGCUAACUCCGUGCCAGCAGCCGCGGUAAU
rnacentral:rRNA from 1 species